ACACGCACCAGCUCAGAGCUCAUGCUGGAAGGCCAUUCUACCGCGCAGAAGGAACGCGCGGGGCCAUGUUGCCAGUCUCAGGGUCCAGAACCAGGCAACCAUCUCUCGCAUCGCUCAGCCUUAUCCUCCCAGUCCCAGCGCUCAUUCCCUCCGCUGCGUUCAUCUCACCCGCCUGCAUCUCUCUCAGUGUCCCCUCUGGCUUGUUGAGCUCGAGCGUGCCUCGUCCUUGCGAGGGAGGCCUCCGGCGAACGCACGAGCUUCUUGACCAAAAGCGUAGCAGCGCGCGAGCCUGCCCAUGGCAGCGCACGAUGGAGAGGAUGCUGGCACCGGUUCCAUGGACAGGCAUGUUCGCCUUAGCUUCAGAUCCGGGUCGGUGUUGUGGUCCUUUUUUCUCUUGAUUCCGAAGAUUUAUGGAUUGCUGCGUGGAUUCAUCUUGUAGAUUUGUUCUCUGAUUUUUCUUGAUUUCCCUUUGAAUUCCCAUGAUUUAUGGUUUUUCCCAUGACUUUCCGUUGCAGAUUGUUGACGUGUGGGUCCAGCACGCUCCGAGCGGCGGCACCCGCGACAAAGGGACGAGGUGGGGGUGACGCGGUAGAUUCAGCAGGCGGCAUUAGAGCAACUCCGAGAGUACUCCAAAAAAAUUCUUCCCUAAAAUUAUGUAUUGAGCAACUCCGAGAGUACUUUAAAAAAAUUUUCCCUAAAAUUAUGUAGUGGGAGUUCUUUCAAAAAUUUUUUUCCCAAAAACAUAUCAAUCCACAGCAGGUCGCUAAUAGCCCUCAAUAUUUUAAAAUAGGCCAUGUUAUCGUAUUGGACCCAUCGGAAGGGACGUGCGAGCGUGUGGGAAUUAGGAUUGGGGGAGGAAUGCCAAUGCUAAAAUAUACGUGGUGGUAGGCUGUUUUUUAGCGUUGCUAAAAAAUUGGGAAGGUUUGGGUGGAUUGUUGGAGUUCAUUUUUUUUCUUUUUUCUCUUAAAAAUGUAUUGGGGUAAGAUUAGCAGCCUCUUGGAGUUGCUCUUAGCUGAGUUCGAGCAGUGGGUUGGACGAGGCGGGAGCUGACAAUGCGUGAGAUGGCGAGCUGCACGAUAUAUCUAGCAGUCGAUUUUGCAUCCACGGAUAUUCUUCACAUUUAAUCUGGAUGUUCUCUCUUUUCUUCUUCACCUUUCACCUUUGAUCUGGAUAUUUUUCUCUUUUCUUUUUCAUCUUCCUUUCGAAGCAGUCUCCUUCUUCUGUUCUGAUUGAGUUCCAAUCAUCAAGGGCACGGCAACUCUUUUUGCAAAUCGUCAAGAGCUACAACAACUCUCAGGACUGCGUGUUGAUUAAGAAAAAUGUGAGGAGAACAUUAGGUAGAGAUUACCAUCCUUUUUAUUUUUUUAGUUCUUUUUAUGAAAGGUUCUCCCAAAUACGCC
rnacentral:lncRNA from 1 species